AAGGCGCGGGGGAGGUAUAAAGUAUUGACGACAUUAACACUACUCGCCUAAUGUGAACGUUUUAGUGAUAACAAUUUUAUAUUUAUCAGGCUGGGGAAAAAAGCUGCAACUGAUUUUUUUGUUAUAUUUGUUGAUACUUCGUUAUAAGCAUUCGCAAAGUAAAAACAAUAACUUUCAUGUAAGAAAUGUUUCUAGACUUGCUGCCGCUAUUCAGUGACUGUUAUGAAGUAGAGUUCAAUGUCUUGUCAGAUUAAUGAACUAAACGUUUUGUAACUAUAUACAAGGACAUCAACAAGUAUACAAGAAUACAUUUAUAAUUCGUAGACAGUAGCAAGCAUAGAUUGUAGAGAAUAAAUUAUGUUUGUAUUGAUGCUUUGAAGAAAAUACUAUGUUUAGAAUAAUUCUGGUAUGGUGAAAAAGCAAGGGGUGCACGAAAUUCUGCUAUAAAUAAGUUUACUCAUUUUCACAAAGUUAUUUUAGGUUGAAUUAUUUAAACCCUUUACAAUAAAAAAGCACCAAUAUUUCAAAGCAUCCGCCAAAAUUUCACGACGCCAAAAUGAAAAACACGAUGAACUUUGUAAAUUGGCAAAGAUAAUAUUUUUGAUUGAAGGAAUUUUGUUAAGUGGAACAAUCAUACUAGAAAUCAUGUGUAUCUCUCUAUACUGUGUACCAGAAUGACUUUUAAUUUUGUUCAGUCAGCAGCAUAUGUAUCAUCUGUAUAUCUGAGAGAAAGAGGGAUGUGGUCUUACCAUUUGUGUAUAAAUGUAAAUUUCUUUUACGACAUAUUAUAGGAUAGGUCUAUUAUUUUAGAUCAACAGACAAAAGCUUAAUAUUCUAGCGCGCUAGACUCCUGGUCACAAAUAUGAUUAGCCGCGCAAGAAAAGCUGAAUAUCAAAAUAUCGUUGAUUUUAUUGUGUUAUGUAUGUACAGCUCGUAACUUGUAAUCCGCCUGUUGAUUGGAUGAUAUAAAUAGACCAUAGUCUACUAGUUCUAUGUAUUUCUAGAAUUACGUAGACUAUACCUGCAUGUAGAACAAUUAUUAGAAACAAAAUUGUAAUUAUAGUUUUAUGAAAUAAAGUAAAAUAAUUC
rnacentral:misc_RNA from 1 species